UAUAUUAUUAAAACAACAACCAACCAACGGUUUAGAUUAGCUAUGCUUAGGCCAAUUAAGAACAACGGCCAAGAUUAAAUACCUACCGCGUGCCCCGGGUGAGAAAACCUAACCGACCCAAACCAUUUUGACGCUAGAUAAUCGGUUCUUAAUCCUUCCUUUCCUAACGCACUCCGGGUGUCAGUUUGGAUAUGCACAUAAUGUUUCCUUCUACCCCACGUCUACCCCAUCUAAGCGAUCUGGUUCCAAGUUUGAUCUACUGCCGCCCAGUUGUGGAUGCCAGCCGGCUAUCGCCGCCGCUUUGCAUGGCCCUGUCGCCUCUCUUUCUAUCCAUGGCUGUUGCGCACCCCUUAGGUUCUCUUCCUCCAGGGUACGCCAGCGGAACGGGUCGAAUCCUCCCAGCCGGCACCGGCGCCGUCGCAGCAGCAGCAAACGCCAGAGGCUGCCCGUUCCGGUGGACAUGCAACACCUGUGGUGUCGAGUUCAAGUCGCUUCAGGAGCAGCAGGAGGACCCCAUGUAUGACCUCCAUCGUCUCAAGGUGUUGUCCUCCGUCCAUUCAUCACACAGCUUGGAAAGUUCUGGAUUGAGCCGGUUGAUGGAAGUCUAAUCCAGAGCAGAACAACAUAUUUCUAUACAUAUAUUCGGCCAGAUCGAUUAAUUACGUCUCCAGCCCGUGACAGCCAUUCACAAGAGAUGGACAAAGAUGGCUGCAAUGCGUAGCACCCAUAGCAUGCAGUAUACACCCGUAGACGAUCAAAGGCACGAGCAGACGUCCUGCAAAUUGAAGGCACGGCAACACAGCCAACCUUAG